AUUGAACGCUGGCGGCAGGCCUAACACAUGCAAGUCGAACGAGUGGCGGACGGGUGAGUAAUGUCUGGGAAACUGCCUGAUGGAGGGGGAUAACUACUGGAAACGGUAGCUACUACCGCAUACCAUCAGAUGUGCCCAGAGGGGAUUAGCUAGUUGGUGGGGUAACGGCUCACCUAGGCGACGAUCCCUAGCUGGUCUGAGAGGAGGACCAGCCACACUGGAACUGAGACACGGUCCAGAUUCCUACGGGAGGCAGCAGUGGGGAAUAUGGCACAAUGGGCGCAAGCCUGAUGCAGCAAUGCCGCGUGUAUGAAGAAGGCCUUCGGGUUGUAAAGUACUUUCAGCGAGGAGGCGUUACCCGCAGAAGAAGCACCGGCUAACUCCGUGCCAGCAGCCGCGGUAAUUC
rnacentral:rRNA from 1 species